ACCACAAUUCGUUUCAUCCGCCGCUCCACCUUUCUCUACAAACCCUAGCUCCUCCACCUUUCAUCCAUGGAACCGGUCGUCGCCAUCACCGUCUUCUCCCCUUCUCCACUCCAACAGUCGCUUCAUGAUCUAGGGUUUCACUGAGAAACCAGUCGUUUCAUGAUCUAGGGUUUCUCUGUAGAUCCGACGCUAUCUUAGCAGAUUCGACACCAGAUCUGACACCAGAUCGAUUUCUAUGGCUUCUUUCCCGGUGGCUUCAAGAUCCGACACUAUCUCAGUAGAUCCGACACCAGAUCUACUGGUUUGACUGUAGGAUGUGGCCAGAUCUCAUUCAGAAUGCUAAAGAAGGAGUUCUGGAUGUUAUUCAGACUUAUGUUUUCUGGAAUGGGCAUGAACCACAACCUGGUAAAUAUUAUUUUGAAGACAGUAUGAUCUGGUUAAGUUCAUUAACCUAAUUAAGGAGGCUGGACUGUAUGUUCAUCUCAGAAUAGGCCCAUAUGCUUGUGCUGAAUGGAACUUUGGGUAUAAUAAACUGUGUUUAAUGAAUUGGCAAAUAUUGAAGUGUGUGAUUCAUAUUGAAAUCAAGUUAUGCUGGAGGCUGCGUGAAAGUGACCCGAUUCCUUACUUGAUUCGAGAUAAAUUAUUUCUAGAAGUUUUUGGUUGUAUUUUUUUCGUUAGUAUUUGCAAAUUGGUGUUUAUGGAGCCCUUAAAGCUUGAUUCUUGCAAUCCGAUAAAAUAGGUGAAAGCUUAAAUGUUGUUGGCUGAUUACUGUGUUCUCCGCUUCAGGGUUUUCAACAUUUGAAGGUGUUGUGUCUGUUGAAAACGGGCAUAUUGGUGAAAAUGAAUCCGGUCCUCACGUGAGUGAAUCCGUUUGUGUAGAGAAAGCACCCGGACCCAGCUUUCCAAAGGAUGCAGUUGACGGGAUGCUUGGACAUUUGGAGCUGUUGAUCCCAACAGCGGCACUGCUGCCCUGCUUGAGGUUGCUGAAAGAUUUGAGAAGCUGCGGAAAAGUUGGAAACCGCGAAGGACGAUUAUCUUUUGCAAUUUGGAUGCAGAAGAAUAUGGAUUGGUCUCUAUCUCUCUUACCCUGAAAUCCUGGUACCGUACCGGGUAUAUUCGGUACCGGUACCGGUUGGUAUUGAGCUCAUCCCUACUCCUGAUGACCAAGCAUAAGAUCGGCCCUGCAUUCCUUGCUCGAUUGGCGAACAAUAGUUCUGAUUUUCUUACUCGACUUUAUACAAGAGAGGUUAUUGUGAUGGAACGGGCUGGUCAUGCAUUUGAUGCAAUGACUUCUAUUACAAACAGGGAGCUUGCUUCAUAUGAUGGGGUGGUUGUUGUUGUAAGUUUUGUGAAUCUGAAUCUGUUUCUUUUAUUACGUUUUAGUUUCCAUAAUUCCUAGAGGUGGAAAGCUUGACCCGUUUACUUACAAAUCGGCCAAUUUGGGUUGGGUUUUUUUCUUAACGGGUCAAAUAAAAAUAGCUUAAAGAGGAAACAUGUUGAAUAUGUGACACAUGUCUUCUCAAAUUUAAAGAUUAUUGUUGUAUUAAUAUUGUUAUUGGAUUCACAAGUAACAUAUCAAUUAUUAAUAUGUGGAUUAGAAAAAAAAAGGUUGAUACCCAUAAUGACAUAGUGGACUCUGGUCUGACCGUAACCAUGGCUGAACCAUUGCCUUCUCGUGAGGAUGAGUCACCGCUCCUGAGUUCAUCACUUGAUGAAUCACAGGUCCCAAAUAUUGGUAAGUUUUUUGAAGCAAUUACUUGAACAUUUGUUUAUUUGGACUUUUGCUAAAUUUGUAUGCAGGUCCCUGUUAUAUUUGCAUGCUUAAUUCCCUUAACUUUAAGAAACUAGAAGCUAAUACGUUAUUAGAUGAUGCUGAAAAUAAUAGAUAUAUAGAACCGCUUAAGAGCGUAUCGAAUGAUGAUAUAGCGAAGGCGAUAUUGGCGAUUAGAAAAGCGGAGAGGCCAUUGAUAGUGUUUGGCAAAGGUGCAGCUAUAGCAAGGGCUGAAAACGAGAUUAAGGAUUUGGUCGAAAGGUGCAGCUAUAGUUGUUUUUUUUUUUUUGUCGCCACAACAAAGAAAUUUGGGGUUACAGAGUUUGUGAACCCAAAAGAUUACUAGAAAUCAGUGCGAGAAGUCAUCUGAAUAUGUUUUGUUCUCUAAUAUCUUCCAAUAAACCACACAUUCUGGUUACUGUUUUGUUCUUGAUUAUUUUCAUCUGAAUUUGAUUUGUUAUUGAAUAUCUUGUUGCAAAGGUGUGGAUCUCUCUCUCUCUCUCUCUCUCUCAAGAUUAAGAUUUUGGAGCUCUCUCUCUCUCAAGAUUAAGAUUUUGGAGCUCUCUCUCUCUCUCAAGAUUAAGUUAUGAUGUAGCGGUAGUGAACCUGAUGCCAGAGGAAGCAGUGCAGUUAAUAUGUGAAACUGGUGGAGUUGUGGUGUUGGCUGAUUCAUGGGCUUUGAAAAAUCCAGUAGUUAUUAUCAGACAAUUAAAAGAAGCCGGCUUGCAUGUGUUAGAUGUUUACAGAAGUGAUGAUAAAUUAGUAGCAUUUAGUGACUUGGCGGAUGCAUAUGAUCUUCUGAAGCUAUUCAACUGCUGGAGCUGUUGAGGAAGACGAAUAUGCAGGGUACAAAAUUAAAGAAACCAACAUGUGAACAGAUUAUGGGCAAUUUCAGUCGGGACAAAGGUUAUUCUAAGGCUUUUGAAGCUGGCGGUGAAGGCCAUAGUGGUGCCAUUGUUGUUAUAUCCCAGGAGAAGCGUCAUAAUUAGCUUUGAAUUUGUAGAUUUGUACUCCAAAAUGACGGUAGUGAUGGUUUUUUUUAACAGUGCACCUUGUGCAUCGGUGUAAGCCCGUGUAGCGAUACCAAGUUACAUUUUAAAUACUGAACUUGGGGGGCGCUUUUGUGUGUGCGUCCGAAAAACACUAUGUGAAUCACACGCAUGAGAAAUGCUUAUCUGUUGAUUUUAACUAGCAGUUGUUGUUGAGAUGUCAAUGUCAUCCUCAAAAUUUUACAUGCUGAUUUGAGUUCUUAUCCAUGUGAAGCUUGUGUGUGCGUCCGAAAAACACUAUGUGAAACACUAUACGUUUCUAUGCAGAACCGGACAGGAUGAUGUUAUAAUUAUUGUUAGCAAAUUUAUAAAUUUUAUUUUUUAUC